UGAGAUGCAACUUGAUAACAUAGAUUUAUAGAAAUAAGAUGAGAUAAGGUGUGGUGUAAAACAACAAUGAGGAAAACAUGAGACCAGUGACGCAAGAUUAAAUGCAAUGUGAUAACAUCAAACCAUAGCAAUGAGAUGAGAUAAUUAGGUGUGCUGAGGUAAAGGAUGUCUCCUGGCAAAUAUGAGGAAAAAUGAAGUGGACGAGAGGCCUUCAGACAGAAGAUUAAGUUAUGAGGUCAAGGGAUGAGAACCAGCAUCACAUGAUUAAUUGAGUUGAGAUUGAAGAUGAGACUAAACUAGUUAACGUGAGAUGAGACAAAAUGAGACAGGAUCAGGUGAAAUUGAUAUUAAUUGCAAUGUUAUGACAUAAAAUGACAACGAUUAGAUGAGAUAAGGUGAUAUUUGGUAAAACCUGUGACAAGAUGAGAAAAUAAAUGAAACAGAUGAGACGCCUUUAAGCAAACGAUGACGACAUGAGGUUCGAGGGAUGAGAAAUAAUAAUAAUGAGAUCAAAGAUGAGACGAAACAAAAAAAAAAUUAUAGAAAUAAGAUGAGAUAAGGUGUGGUGUAAAACAACAAUGAGGAAAACAUGAGACCAGUGAUGCAAGAUUAAAUGCAAUGUGAUAACAUCAAACCAUAGAAAUGAGAUGAGAUAAUAAGGUACGCUGAGGUAAAGGAUGUCUCCUGGCAAAUAUGAGAAAAAUGAGGUGGACGAGAGGCCUUCAGACAGAAGAUUAAGUUAUGAGGUCAAGGGAUGGGACCCAAUAUCUCAUGAUUAAUUGAGUUGAGAUUAAACUAGUUAACGUGAGAUGAGACAAAAUUAGACAUGACAAAUAAGAUGAGACAGAAUUCGGUGAAAAUGAUAUUAUCUGCAAUGUUAUGACAUAAAAUGACAAAGAUUAGAUGAGAUAAGGUGAUAUUUGGUAAAAUAUGUAACAAGAUGAGAAAAUAAAUGAAACAGAUGAGACGCCUUUAAGCAAAAGAUGAUGACAUGAGGUUCGAGAGAUGAGAAAUAACAAUAAUGAGAUCAAAGAUGAGACGUAACAAAAAAAAAAAAAAACGAUGAACACGGUGAGACAAAAGACGAGGCAACGUCCAGUGAAAUGAGAUGAGAUGUAACGUGAUAACGUACAUGAUCAUCUGACAUGAGAUAAAGAAUCCCACAGGAUGAAUUGUCAUGGCUGAGGAAAGUAGCGACGUACAUGCGGGAUGAGAAAGGAUGUAACAUGAGACGUGACGGAAUGAGCAAAAGAAAAUACAAACGAGACGAGGGAAAAAAGAAGCAACUGGAUGAGAACAAAUACUGCAUGAUAAAUGCCCGACAUGGUCAUGUGAGAUGAGACAUGAUGAGGCUCAUGGAUCAGCCUGGGAGACUAAUCUACUUAACGUGAGAUGAGACAAAAUGAGACAUGACAAAUAAGAUGAGACAGAAUUCGGUGAAAAUGAUAUUAUCUGCAAUGUUAUGACAUAAAAUGACAAAGAUUAGAUGAGAUAAGGUGAUAUUUGGUGAAAUAUGUAACAAGAUGAGAAAAUAAAUGAAACAGAUGAGACGCCUUUAAGCAAAAGAUGAUGACAUGAGGUUCGAGGGAUGAGAAAUAACAAUAAUGAGAUCAAAGAUGAGACGAAACUAAAAAAAAAGUUAUAGAAAUAAGAUGAGAUAUGGCGUGGUGUAAAAAAAAAAAAAAAAAGACAAACAUGAGGAAAACAUGAGACCAGUUACGCAUGAUUAAAUGCAAUGUGAUAACAUCAAACCAUAGAAAUGAGAUGAGAUAAUUAGGUGCGCUGAGGUAAAGGAUGUCACGUGGCAAAUAUGAGGAAAAAUGAGGUGGACGAGAGGCCUUCAGACAGAAGAUUAAGUUAUGAGGUCAAGGGAUGAGAACCAAUAUCUCAUGAUUAAUUGAGUUGAGAUUAAACUAGUUAACGUGAGAUGAGACAAAAUGAGACAGGAUCAUGUUAAAUUGAUAUUAAUUGCAAUGUUAUGACAUAAAAUGACAAAGAUUAGAUGAGAUAAGGUGAUAUUUGGUAAGAUAUGUGACAAGAUGAGAAAAUAAAUGAAACAGAUGAGACGCCUUUAAGCAAACGAUGACGACAUGACGUUCGAGAGAUGAGAAAUAAUAAUAAUGAGAUCAAAGAUGAGACGAAACAAAAAAAAAGUUAUAGAAAUAAGAUGAGAUAAGGUGUGGUGUAAAAAAAAAAAAAAGACAAACUUGAGGAAAACAUGAGACCAUGAGAAACUAGUUAACGUGAGAUGAGACAACAUUAGACAUGGCAAAUAAGUUGAAACAGAAUCCGGUUAAAAUUAUAUUAUUGUAAUGUUAUGACAUAAAAUGACAAAGAUUAGAUGAGAUAAGGUGAUAUUUGGUAAAAUAUGUAACAAGAUGAGAAAAUAAAUGAAACAGAUGAGACGCCUUUAAGCAAAAGAUGAUGACAUGAGGUUCGAGGGAUGAGA